CCUACGGGAGGCUGCAGUGAGGAAUAUUGGUCAAUGGCCGUAAGGCUGAACCAGCCACGUCGCGUGAAGGAAGAAGGAUCUAUGGUUUGUAAACUUCUUUUAUAGGGGAAUAAAGGUAUCCACGUGUGGCUCUUUGCAUGUACCCUAUGAAUAAGCAUCGGCUAACUCCGUGCCAGCAGCCGCGGUAAUACGGAGGAUGCGAGCGUUAUCCGGAUUUAUUGGGUUUAAAGGGUGCGUAGGCGGGCUUUUAAGUCAGCGGUAAAAAGUCGGGGCUCAACCCCGUCCGGCCGUUGAAACUGGGUGCCUGGAGUGGGCGAGAAGAAGGCGGAAUGCGUGGUGUAGCGGUGAAAUGCAUAGAUAUCACGCAGAACCCCGAUUGCGAAGGCAGCCUUCCGGCGCCCUACUGACGCUGAGGCACGAAAGUGCGGGGAUCGAACAGGAUUAGAUACCCCGGUAGUC
rnacentral:rRNA from 1 species